AUGGUACUCCCUCCGUUCGAAAAUACUUGUCAUCAAAAUGGAUAAAAAAAGAUGUAUAUAAAACUAAAAUAUUUCCCUUUUAUCCAUUUUGAGGACAAGUAUUUCCGGACGGAGAGAGUAUUGG
rnacentral:pre_miRNA from 1 species